UAACGCGUGAGGAACCUGCCUUCCAGAGGGGGACAACAGUUGGAAACGACUGCUAAUACCGCAUGACACAUGACCGUGGCAUCACGGACAUGUCAAAGAUUUAUCGCUGGAAGAUGGCCUCGCGUCUGAUUAGCUAGUAGGCGGGGUAACGGCCCACCUAGGCGACGAUCAGUAGCCGGACUGAGAGGUUGACCGGCCACAUUGGGACUGAGAUACGGCCCAGACUCCUACGGAAGGCAGCAG
rnacentral:rRNA from 1 species